rnacentral:rRNA from 1 species
GUGGGGAAUAUUGGACAAUGGGCGCAAGCCUGAUCCAGCAAUGCCGCGUGUGUGAAGAAGGCCUUCGGGUUGUAAAGCACUUUUGUUCGGGAAGAAAUCCGUAUGGUUAACACCUGUGCGGGAUGACGGUACCGAAAGAAUAAGCACCGGCUAACUUCGUGCCAGCAGCCGCGGUAAUACGAAGGGUGCAAGCGUUAAUCGGAAUUACUGGGCGUAAAGCGUGCGUAGGCGGUUUGUUAAGUCAGAUGUGAAAGCCCCGGGCUCAACCUGGGAACUGCAUUUGAUACUGGCAGGCUAGAGUACGGUAGAGGGUGGUGGAAUUCCCGGUGUAGCGGUGAAAUGCGUAGAGAUCGGGAGGAACAUCCGUGGCGAAGGCGGCCACCUGGACCAGUACUGACGCUGAGGCACGAAAGCGUGGGGAGCAAACAGGAUUAGAUACCCGAGUAGUCC